rnacentral:rRNA from 1 species
UACAGAGGUCUCAAGCGUUGUUCGGAUUCAUUGGGCGUAAAGGGUGUGUAGGUGGCGCGCUAAGUCGGGUGUGAAAUUUCGGAGCUUAACUCCGAAACUGCAUUCGAUACUGGCGUGCUUGAGGACUGGAGAGGAGACUGGAAUUCAUGGUGUAGCAGUGAAAUGCGUAGAUAUCGGGAGGAACACCAGUGGCGAAGGCGAGUCUCUGGGAUGAUACUGACGCUGAUGCUCGAAAGCUAGGGGAGCAAACGGG